GGGCAUUGGAGACGAUGUCCUUCAGUUAGGCUGGCCCCAGAACAGGUGCUGCAUGGCUGUCGUCAGCUCGUGUCGUGAGAUGUUGGGUUAAGUCCCGCAACGAGCGCAACCCUCGCCCUUAGUUGCCAGCAUUUAGUUGGGCACUCUAAGGGGACUGCCGGUGAUAAGCCGAGAGGAAGGUGGGGAUGACGUCAAGUCCUCAUGGCCCUUACGGGCUGGGCUACACACGUGCUACAAUGGUGGUGACAGUGGGCAGCGAGACAGCGAUGUCGAGCUAAUCUCCAAAAGCCAUCUCAGUUCGGAUUGCACUCUGCAACUCGAGUGCAUGAAGUUGGAAUCGCUAGUAAUCGCAGAUCAGCAUGC
rnacentral:rRNA from 1 species